GGACUGAGGCUUCAGUGUGUUAGUAGAACAGGUUAGUGAACUCAGGACCAGCUGGAUGAGGGGACUGAGGCUUCAGUGUGUUAGUAGAACAGGUUUGUGAACUCAGGACCAGCUGGAUGAGGGGACUGAGGCUUCAGUGUGUUAGUAGAACAGGUUUGUGAACUCAGCCCCAGGACCAGCUGGAUGAGGGGACUGAGGCUUCAGUGUGUUAGUAGAACAGGUUUGUGAACUCAGCCCCAGGACCAGCUGGAUGAGGGGACUGAGGCUUCAGUGUGUUAGUAGAACAGGUUUGUGAACUCAGCCCCAGGACCAGCUGGAUGAGGGGACUGAGGCUUCAGUGUGUUAGUAGAACAGGUUUGUGAACUCAGCCCCAGGACCAGCUGGAUGAGGGGACUGAGGCUUCAGUGUGUUAGUAGAACAGGUUUGUGAACUCAGCCCCAGGACCAGCUGGAUGAGGGGACUGAGGCUUCAGUGUGUUAGUAGAACAGGUUUGUGAACUCAGCCCCAGGACCAGCUGGAUGAGGGGACUGAGGCUUCAGUGUGUUAGUAGAACAGGUUUGUGAACUCAGCCCCAGGACCAGCUGGAUGAGGGGACUGAGGCUUCAGUGUGUUAGGAGAACAGGUUAGUGAACUCAGGACCAGCUGGAUGAGGGGACUGAGGCUUCAGUGUGUUAGUAGAACAGGUUUGUGAACUCAGCCCCAGGACCAGCUGGAUGAGGGGACUGAGGCUUCAGUGUGUUAGUAGAACAGGUUUGUGAACUCAGCCCCAGGACCAGCUGGAUGAGGGGACUGAGGCUUCAGUGUGUUAGUAGAACAGGUUAGUGAACUCAGGACUAGCUGGAUGAGGGGACUGAGGCUUCAGUGUGUUAGUAGAACAGGUUAGUGAACUCAGGACCAGCUGGAUGAGGGGACUAUUU